rnacentral:rRNA from 1 species
CCUACGGGAGGCAGCAGUGAGGAAUAUUGGUCAAUGGGCGCACGCCUGAACCAGCCAAGUAGCGUGAAGGAUGACUGCCCUACGGGUUGUACACUUCUUUUAUAAAGGAAUAAAGUGAGGCACGUGUGCCUUUUUUUAUUUACUUUAUGAAUAAGGAUCGGCUAACUCCGUGCCAGCAGCCGCGGUAAUACGGAGGACGCGAGCGUUAUCCGGAUUUAUUGGGUUUAAAGGGCGCGUAGAUGGGUUGUUAAGUCAGUUGUGAAAGUUUGCGGCUCAACCGUAAAAUUGCAAUUGAUACUGGCAGCCUUGAGUACAGUUGAGGUAGGCGGAAUUCGUGGUGUAGCGGUGAAAUGCUUAGAUAUCACGAAGAACUCCGAUUGCGAAGGCAGCUUACUAAACUGCCACUGACAUUGAUGCUCGAAAGUGUGGGUAUCAAACAGGAUUAGAUACCCCAGUAGUC